GAAAAAAAUAAAAUUGUUUUGCUAAAUAUGUAGUACUUUACAAUUGAAAAGUGCUCUAUUUUGAUCAAAUUAAGAGUAAAAUUGUUCAUCAUAAAAGUUAGAUUAUCAUUCGUAAAGUUUGUUUUGUCAGUUCUGUUUAUAUAUUUGAAAGUUCGUACUUUUACUAAUAAAACUGUAGAACUGUCAAAUUUCACACGAAAAUUCAUCAAAAGGUAUAACAGACCGGGACACCUCAAGAAAAAAUAAAUGCAUAUCUUUUCAAAUUAACAUAUUUUCAGUUUUGAUACAUUUCAUAUCACAAGGUAAAAACACUUUGAAAUGUAUCAAAAUGUGUUCUAAAAUUAUUGAACUAUUGUUUAGCUCUAAACCUGCAUGAAGGCAUUCGAAAUUAGCAACAUACUUUUUAAUAGUAACAUGCAAUUCCAGUUAUGUCAAAUAAUCCGAAAUAAUUUCUCAGGGUGUAUUUAUCCGCAGUCAGUUAAGUUUAGUCUUCACACUUCGCGCUCCCGUUUUUAAGUUGUUUUAGCCGUCGCGAAUCGCAUUUAUUUGCUAAACAGAAAUUUAAAACCCUCAAACAUCUCGAGCUAAAAUUUCCAUUGAUGGAAUGGAAACUAUACAGCAGUACCACUACCGGUGAAAGCUUCAUUUAGGACAAGGCGGUUACCCAUAAAGAGCAGAACACCACCCUUUGUUGUUUUCAUGUACCAGAACUACCAAACAGUUUUCGAAAACGAGAAUAAAUCGGUCGAAGAAUGAUUGACCGCCACAGUAAUCAACAACCAGUGUUCAUAAGAGUGAAUGCAUCAAAACCAGCUUACAGAGGUCCAGAAUUGCAUCUAAGCUUUCAUGGCCAGAAUAUGGCCGAUCGCGACACCGCGACACGAGCCGCCGCAAAUCUAUGCUGGCGUUCGGGCCCAAAGAGAACUGUUUCAAAGAUGUCAAACACGGAGAAACUGGAUACCUCUCGGACUUGAAAGAUAAGUUGUUUUUUCUGACCUUGUCGGGGCAUGGCGCUAUGUUCACCGAUACCUGCAAGGCGUCCCCGAGAAGCCUUGAGGAAGCUGCUACGUAUUGUAAAAAGGUUAAUAUUUAAAUAAAUGAAAUGAAAAGUA